rnacentral:rRNA from 1 species
GACAGAGGGUGCAACCGUUGUUCGGAAUUACUGGGCGUAAAGCGUGUGUAGGCGGCUAUGCAAGUCGGGCGUGAAAUCCCGCGGCUCAACCGUGGAAGUGCACUCGAAACUGCGUAGCUAGAGUCCUGGAGAGGAAGGCGGAAUACUUGGUGUAGAGGUGAAAUUCGUAGAUAUCAAGUGGAACACCGGUGGCGAAGGCGGCCUUCUGGACAGUGACUGACGCUGAGACGCGAAAGCGUGGGGAGCAAACAGG